CGCCCCCGUUUUUUAACAAACAUGUCUUAAUGGAUUUUAUAUUAAGUUUGGUUUGCUCAAUGAUUUUAAUUAAAUAGCCGCAGUAUUUUGACUGUGCGAAGGUAGCAUAAUCAUUUGUCUYUUAAUUGGAGGCUUGUAUGAAUGAUCGGAUGAGAGAAUAGCUUUCUUUACAUUAAGUAACUGAAUUUAAUUUUUUAGUUAAAAAGCUUAAAUUUUUAAGUGGGACGAGAAGACCCUAUAGAAUUUUAUUUUUUUUUUGAUUAUUUUAUUAUGGUAAUUGAAUAAUUUUAAUUGUAAGGGAAAUUUUGUUGGGGUGACAAUGAGAUUCARAUAACUCUCAUAUUUUAUAUUUUAUUAAUUUAUAUAUUUUUUUGAUCCUUAAUUUAGGAUUAACAGACUAAAUUACCUUAGGGAUAACAGCGUAAUUCUUUUGGAGAGUUCUUAUCGAUGAAGGAGUUUGCGACCUCGAUGUUGGAUUAAAAUUAGAUUUAAGUGCAAAAGCUUAAUUUCUAGGUCUGUUCGACCUUUAAAAUUUUACAUGACGGGUUUCUCC
rnacentral:rRNA from 1 species